ensembl:lncRNA HULC hepatocellular carcinoma up-regulated long non-coding RNA
GGCACUGCCUAGGUGGGCCGGGCGGUGCGAGGGUCGCCUUUCAGCCUUUACCUCUACCCACUGAAAUGGAGUAGGUCGGUGAGCGCCGAUCUGCUGGAGAAUCUCAUUAUCCCAUCGGCGCUCUGCCUGCUCCUGGCCUCCAAGCCUCUGAAGCCCCUCGGGUUUCAGCUGCCGGCUACCCUCGAGCCCGUGGUGCCCACGAGAGAGGCGACUUUACGUCAGCGGCCCUGGGCUGAGAUUUGAGAACGCGACCAAGUGGAGAAUGUUGGAGCCAGAUUUUAAAAUCCUUGUCUUCCUUCUGCGUGCUACUUGAUCUAAAUGAGAUACGGCAAAGUCACAGAACCUGUUUUUAUGUUUUUGCCUGAUUCAUACGGGCUUCUCCGGUGAAGAUGGGCCUGAAGUAACGCUUGGGUUGCUUCUGACGUUAUAACUCAUCCUGUAGCUGCAGCAACCGUGGUCCUUGCAACCUCAUAAAAAUGUUGCCAGCAUUGUUUCGAUAGUGCUGCUUAAUUCUUGGAAGGUUCUUCGGACUUCACACAUUCCAGCAGUAGCUCUCUCAGCUCCUGUCCUGCACAGCUUUGAAGUGCUGGCUGGAGUGCAGUGGUGCCAUCUCGGCUCACUGCAGCCUCAACCUCCUGGGCUCAAGCGAUCCUCCUGCCACACCCUCCUGAGUAGCUGGGAUUACAGGUGAUGUCAUUGAACUCUUAAGUGCAAGAUGAAACAAGUCUUUCUGGGGUUCUAAGUAGGACACAGGACUGGGCUGUGGCCCUUGGCGAGCCUCCCAAGCUAUUCAGUGAUGUUAGACAACCCACUUACCUUCUCUGAAAUUUACUUUUCUUAUAUGUAAAAUGCAGCUAUUGUACAGGACACAGCCCUGGUGAUGGCUUUCUGAGGAUGACACGAUGGAGGCUUCUCCAAUAGCUCUAAAACUGCGGUGUGGAAAACAUUCGGCAGCCUCAAAGAGCGGUCUUGUUGACCCCAACUAUAUCAUUUUUCAUCAAAAUCAUUCUUGUAAAGAAUGACCAGGCAACACUCUUUGAAAAUUGGAGGCCAUUUGCAGCUGCUCUCUGUUGAGGAAAGUGAAUAAUAGGGUGCCCUCAAGGAAUUGCAAAGGUAUCACUCAACAGAAACUUUCGUGUCUGAAGAAAACUAGAUCAUUUUAUCAUGGUAGGCAUGCUGAUAUGUUUGCUUUAAUAAAAUGCCAUAUUUCUGCCUUUAAUCUCUUGUCAACCCGCUAUUAAAAAGCCCCAAAGUGCAUGUGUGCAGCGCAUGUAAACACUUGUGGUUUUGAGGUUACCACAGAACAUACUAAUAAAGCAUGUAAUUUGUGUUUUGUGCA